AAAUUAAAAUGAUGUGUGCAUAGUUCAUCUGAAUUUUGUUAAUGAAGAAUUAAUUAAAUGUCUUCGCCCCUAUCUGAUUUAGACU
rnacentral:snoRNA from 1 species